AGGGAAACCGAGUCUUAACUGGGCGUUAAGUUGCAGGGUAUAGACCCGAAACCCGGUGAUCUAGCCAUGGGCAGGUUGAAGGUUGGGUAACACUAACUGGAGGACCGAACCGACUAAUGUUGAAAAAUUAGCGGAUGACUUGUGGCUGGGGGUGAAAGGCCAAUCAAACCGGGAGAUAGCUGGUUCUCCCCGAAAGCUAUUUAGGUAGCGCCUCGUGAACUCAUCUUCGGGGGUAGAGCACUGUUUCGGCUAGGGGGUCAUCCCGACUUACCAACCCGAUGCAAACUGCGAAUACCGAAGAAUGUUAUCACGGGAGACACACGGCGGGUGCUAACGUCCGUCGUGAAGAGGGAAACAACCCAGACCGCCAGCUAAGGUCCCAAAGUCACAGUUAAGUGGGAAACGAUGUGGGAAGGCUCAGACAGCCAGGAUGUUGGCUUAGAAGCAGCCAUCAUUUAAAGAAAGCGUAAUAGCUCACUGGUCGAGUCGGCCUGCGCGGAAGAUGUAACGGGGCUAAACUGUGCACCGAAGCUGCGGCAGCGACGCUUAUGCGUUGUUGGGUAGGGGAGCGUUCUGUAAGCCUGCGAAGGUGUCCUGUGAGGGAUGCUGGAGGUAUCAGAAGUGCGAAUGCUGACAUAAGUAACGAUAAUGCGGGUGAAAAGCCCGCUCGCCGGAAGACCAAGGGUUCCUGUCCAACGUUAAUCGGGGCAGGGUGAGUCGACCCCUAAGGCGAGGCCGAAAGGCGUAGUCGAUGGGAAACGGGUUAAUAUUCCCGUACUUGGUGUUACUGCGAAGGGGGGACGGAGAAGGCUAUGUUGGCCGGGCGACGGUUGUCCCGGUUUAAGCGUGUAGGCUGGUUUUCCAGGCAAAUCCGGAAAAUCAAGGCUGAGGCGUGAUGACGAGGCACUACGGUG
rnacentral:rRNA from 1 species